rnacentral:rRNA from 1 species
UUUACUGAGAGUUUGAUCCUGGCUCAGGACGAACGCUGGCGGCGUGCCUAAUACAUGCAAGUCGUGCGGACUUUUUAAAAGCUUGCUUUUAAAAGGUUAGCGGCGGACGGGUGAGUAACACGUGGGCAACCUGCCUGUAAGAUCGGGAUAACGCCGGGAAACCGGGGCUAAUACCGGAUAGUUUUUUCCUCCGCAUGGAGGAAAAAGGAAAGACGGCUUCGGCUGUCACUUACAGAUGGGCCCGCGGCGCAUUAGCUAGUUGGUGGGGUAACGGCUCACCAAGGC